UGAGUAACGCGUGAGGAACCUGCCUUUCGGAGGGGGACAACAGUUGGAAACGACUGCUAAUACCGCAUGAUACAUUUGGAUCGCAUGGUCUGAAUGUCAAAGAUUUAUCGCCGAAAGAUGGCCUCGCGUCUGAUUAGCUAGUUGGUGAGGUAAUGGCCCACCAAGGCGACGAUCAGUAGCCGGACUGAGAGGUUGGCCGGCCACAUUGGGACUGAGAUACGGCCCAGACUCCUACGGGAGGCAGCAG
rnacentral:rRNA from 1 species